GCACAUAGGGGUAAAAGGAGUGGGAAAUUUACUUGAGUAGAGGUUCAAGAGAGAACCUGAUUCUGAGUCAUGAAUGGAAAUAAUAGAAUACCAACAUGACUCAGAAUUACUCACACAUAAGGGGAUAACAGCGAAGGGGUACCAUAUAAGAAAGGUUUACAGAAAACAUGCAGAAAGCAAAGGCAUAACAGACUUGAAGGUGCAGAAUACGAUGAAAGAGAGCAUGGCAGACUGAAUGGAGAAUGCACAGCAGAAGAAGGGUAAUAAAUACAUAUUCAGGAGGGCAUUAUUUAACUAGGAAGACAUACUAGAUGCAAUUUUCAGAACAACAAAACAAAAAUAGCAAGUAAACAGUCAGAGAGUCAACAUGAGCAAACUCAGAAACUUCAGCAAACACUUGAGAAUUCAAAGAAACUCAAAGAAUAUUUUCAUUGUAAUGAGAAGAGGAGCAGGGUGCUCAGUAGAGAAAGUAGUAGCUGUAGCAAAGAAAGCAGUAUUAGAGAAAGCUGUAGUGGAGAGAGUAGUGUAUUUGUUUUAAAGACAUAGAACUUUUUUUAAGGGAGUCUGAUUCCAACGGGUAAAACAAGUUAAGGAAAUAGAAAUUUUCUUAAAACCUUUCAAAGUAGCAUAAAAGGGGUCAAUACAUAGAACUUAUUUAAGGAAAACAAUCAAUAGUACAUGGUUGGAUAGAAAUAAGGAAAUGAAUUAAUCACAGCCAGUGAAAUCAGGAUUCCAAGUCUUGGAAUGAAUGAAUCCAUCACAGAAAGGUGAAGAGGGACUUAAUUUGAAAAAAAUCAUUAACAUUCAAUUAGACCCUUUUGAAAAAGGAUUCUGAAUCAAUCACAAGCGGGACAAAGGCCCUUUUGAAAAGAGGAGAAUGUCAUAUAAAAAGCAUGUAGAGACAUGAAAGUAUUGUUGUAAAACCUAGCAAAAAUCAGAGUAGCAAGAAAAGUUAGGUUCAUAGACUCAAAGUGAGUCUUAGAGGGUCAGGGUUUUGGAUGGGACCCUAGCGCAAGCACACAACCAAGCAUGUCAAAAACCCCAAACCUAGGGUUUCGAAUUCGAGUAAGGUACAGAAAGGAGGGGGAAAGCCCUAGAAAUAGAUUCAGAGAGUCUCAUGAAGAAGCACACGGAUAUAAUAGCAAGUUUGAAGCAACAGAGCGAGAGAAUCAUAAAGAACAUGUUUAAUAAAACUUCAUGACUCAAAUAAGAAAAGAUGUGACAUAGCACUUAAGCGACAAUAGAUGGAAUAGGUUUAUAACUCAAACAAACUCAGUAAAAAAAUAGUAAAGGAACAUACAUAAGACAGACACGUAAAGCAUACUGUAGAAAAUCAGUAGAAGAAAUAACAGAGCACAAGUAGAAGAACAUGCAUAAUAAUGGCAAAACAUAUGCACAAGCAAAAACACAUAAGAGCAAAACAUAUACAGGCAGAUUCACAUAAAGAAAGAAAAAGAAGGAGAAACAGAAAUAAUUUUAAGAGUUUUUCGAAACCCUAGAUUGAACAGACUAAUUUAGAAAGAGAAGAUUGGGGAAAAGCAUUAUAAACUCGAGUGUAGCACAGAUCAAUCACAGAUAUAAAAAAAUAAAGGAAGAAAGAACCUCGAACGUCAUUUAAGGUUUCUCAGGAACCCUAGAGAUGAGAAGGCUUGGAAUGGAUCUGGUCUCAAACAGGUCUGGACCAUAGCUAGGCCUUUCAAGGCUCAAACACAUUGGAACGGAGCCGGAGAAGCCAUAGGAACUCAGAUCGGUGGAGGACCUGGAUAGGCAAUGUUAAAGUUGAACCUCAAAAAUCUCGAACGACCAUGAUUUGGGGUGAAGGGAAGAGAGCACAGGCCAUUCAUAGCCUGAGAAGCCAUGGACGCCAUUGGAAUUUGGUCGGAGAAGACGAUAGGGGGCAGCUAGGGUUUGAGUAGUAGAGAGAGUUCAAGAGAAGCAGAGAGUGCAAAG
rnacentral:lncRNA from 1 species